UCCAGACUCCUACGGGAGGCAGCAGUGGGGAAUAUUGCACAAUGGGGGAAACCCUGAUGCAGCGACGCCGCGUGAGUGAAGAAGUAAUUCGUUAUGUAAAGCUCUAUCAGCAGGGAAGAAAUGACGGUACCUGACUAAGAAGCCCCGGCUAACUACGUGCCAGCAGCCGCGGUAAUACGUAGGGGGCAAGCGUUAUCCGGAUUUACUGGGUGUAAAGGGAGCGUAGGCGGCGAUGCAAGUCUGAAGUGAAAGGCGGGGGCCCAACCCCCGGACUGCUUUGGAAACUGUAUAGCUGGAGUGCAGGAGAGGUAAGUGGAAUUCCUAGUGUAGCGGUGAAAUGCGUAGAUAUUAGGAGGAACACCAGUGGCGAAGGCGGCUUACUGGACGGUAACUGACGGUGAGGCGCGAAAGCGUGGGGAGCAAACAGGAUUAGAUACCCUUGUA
rnacentral:rRNA from 1 species